rnacentral:rRNA from 1 species
AUUGAACGCUGGCGGCAUGCCUUACACAUGCAAGUCGAACGGUAACAGGUCUUAGGCUGCUGACGAGUGGCGAACGGGUGAGUAAUACAUCGGAACGUGCCCGAUCGUGGGGGAUAACGAGGCGAAAGCUUUGCUAAUACCGCAUACGAUCUACGGAUGAAAGCGGGGGAUCUUCGGACCUCGCGCGGACGGAGCGGCCGAUGGCAGAUUAGGUAGUUGGUGGGAUAAAAGCUUACCAAGCCGACGAUCUGUAGCUGGUCUGAGAGGAUGAUCAGCCACACUGGGACUGAGACACGGCCCAGACUCCUACGGGAGGCAGCAGUGGGGAAUUUUGGACAAUGGGCGAAAGCCUGAUCCAGCCAUGCCGCGUGCAGGAUGAAGGCCUUCGGGUUGUAAACUGCUUUUGUACGGAACGAAAAGCCUCUUUCUAAUAAAGAGGGGUCAUGACGGUACCGUAAGAAUAAGCACCGGCUAACUACGUG